GCGGCGAGCGAAGCGGGAAGAGCUCAAAUUUAUAAUCUGGCACCUUCGGUGUCCGAGUUGUAAUCUCUAGAAAUGUUUUCCGCGUUGGACCGCACACAAGUCUGUUGGAAUACAGCGGCAUAGUGGUGAGACCCCCGUAUAUGGUGCGGACGCCCAGCGCUUUGUGAUACAUUUUCGAAGAGUCGAGUUGUUUGGGAAUGCAGCUCAAAUUGGGUGGUAAAUUCCAUCUAAAGCUAAAUAUUGGCGAGAGACCGAUAGCGAACAAGUACCGUGAGGGAAAGAUGAAAAGCACUUUGGAAAGAGAGUUAACAGUACGUGAAAUUGUUGGAAGGGAAACGCUUGAAGUCAGACUUGCUUGCUGAGCAAUCGGUUUGCAGGCCAGCAUCAGUUUUCCGGGAUGGAUAAUGGUAGAGAGAAGGUAGCAGUUUCGGCUGUGUUAUAGCUCUCUGCUGGAUACAUCUUGGGGGACUGAGGAACGCAGUGUGCCUUUGGCGGGGGUUUCGACCUCUUCACACUUAGGAUGCUGGUGGAAUGGCUUUAAACGACCCGUCUUG
rnacentral:rRNA from 1 species